UUCAGUUUUGGAUAUGAUAUUUUUUAGAUUUUGGCUUUUUGUUUACUUUAGUCUACACCACAUGAAUGUGAUCUCAGAAUGAGUACAUUUUAAUGUAGCAUGAUGUAGCCUCCAUUGUAUUAGGGUGUAGUUGUAUUUUCCCUUGGUAUACGAUAGUGCAUCUCUUGGUUGAGCUUCAUUUCUUCAUUGCUAAUUACUAUUUGCUCAGCCAGCAGCUAAUCUUGAUAUGGGUCUAUGUUCUCACUCUGGGCAUUUUACUUUAGCUCCUAAGAGAUGAGGAAGGAAAAAAUCUUGGUCUGAAAGGCAGUGAGAAAAGCUCAGUUCAAAAAGAUAACAAUGAAAAAAUGGCAGAUGCAGAGGGAUCUUCAAAUGGAGGAGGCGAGCCAUCUGUAGCUCCAAUGGAAGAGGGUGAAAAAGUAACGCAUAUGACUGGAAUAUAUGAUUUGGUUGCCGUAUUGACCCACAAGGGUAGAAGUGCUGAUUCGGGACAUUAUGUUGGUUGGGUCAAGCAAGAACAUGGUGUGUGAAAAUUCUGUUCUUUAUCUCAAAAUUUUGUUGGUUGUCCCCACCACAACUUUCAACCCCUCUCAGGUAAUUCUGUUCUUUAUCUUAGAAUAAUGAUCACAAUUUAUAUUACCAUGACUACUACGAUGUCAGAAAUGUAGAAAUAGUAGACAGCUGCCACCCUUUUUUAUGUGUCUUGUUCACGAGGUGAGAUGAUACUGAUAAUUAGAGGCGGCGACAUUGCUUAUCGACCUUUGGUCAAUUUGUCAUUAAAUCAUUAUAUGGUAUUUCAUAACAUGUGAUUUUCGAAACAGAUAAUGUCAUUAUGGACUGGUUACAAAAUAUAUCUGAAAAAGGAUAAGAGAAGGAACAAAAAGGCAAAGUUUUCUUGUGAGGAAAGCAGUGAUGAUGAAGAAAAAGAAGCAGCAGUAAGAGCAAGUGAAGUGAAUUUUGCAGAUAAGAUAAGUGGAAUUAACACAAGACCUCCUUCACCAACUUCAUCUAUUAAUUAUUAGAGCAGCAAAAAUUGUUCAAAUAAGUUAGGAAAUUGAAUAAGAGUUGCUUGCAACAUAGGUCUUUCAAUUUACUAGUAUGAGAAAAAUCAUUUAGAGCCCUUUGGAUACCCAUUAACAACUUUUAAUUUAUUCAAUACACUUUGUUGAUGUAUGUUUGUUACUUAUUAUUAUAGUUG